UACGAAGGGGGCUAGCGUUGUUCGGAAUUACUGGGCGUAAAGCGCACGUAGGCGGACUAUUAAGUCAGGGGUGAAAUCCCGGGGCUCAACCCCGGAACUGCCUUUGAUACUGGUAGUCUCGAGUCCGGAAGAGGUGAGUGGAAUUCCGAGUGUAGAGGUAGAAAUUCGUAGAUAUUCGGAGGAACACCAGUGGCGAAGGCGGCUCACUGGUCCGGUACUGACGCUGAGGAGCGAAAGCAUGGGGAGCGAACAGG
rnacentral:rRNA from 1 species